UGGGGAAUUUUGGACAAUGGGGGAAACCCUGAUCCAGCCAUCCCGCGUGUGCGAUGAAGGCCUUCGGGUUGUAAAGCACUUUUGGCAGGAAAGAAACGUCAUGGGUUAAUACCCCGUGAAACUGACGGUACCUGCAGAAUAAGCACCGGCUAACUACGUGCCAGCAGCCGCGGUAAUACGUAGGGUGCAAGCGUUAAUCGGAAUUACUGGGCGUAAAGCGUGCGCAGGCGGUUCGGCAAGAAAGAUGUGAAAUCCCAGAGCUCAACUUUGGAACUGCAUUUUUAACUACCGGGCUAGAGUGUGUCAGAGGGAGGUGGAAUUCCGCGUGUAGCAGUGAAAUGCGUAGAUAUGCGGAGGAACACCGAUGGCGAAGGCAGCCUCCUGGGAUAACACUGACGCUCAUGCACGAAAGCGUGGGGAGCAAACAGG
rnacentral:rRNA from 1 species